GAUCGUUUCAUCGCAGCGGAGUAAGGAUGAGCCGCAACGGGGAGCUUUGCCUGCAGAAGAUCAUCGUGUCGUAUAGCCCCAACAAAGGGAAUCCGGCGAUGCGGCAGUUCAUGGCCACCUAUCUGCCCGAGUUCAACCGGCAGUAUCCACAGGUGAAAAUUGACAUUCGCCCUCGCCAGUGGCCGGAGAGCAGCAUCACCGGGAUCUACCGGGAUGGCAGCGAGAAGGCGUACUCCAUCCGCUUUCUCAGCUCGAUGGGCAUCAACGUUCGCUUUCACCGCCUGGUGAACGAAGGGAACGACUACAAUCACUCCUUCUCUGCUUCCCACCUGCAUCUGCAGCGCAGGAGUGUGCAGGGCACCUGGAACCCAUAUCUGUGGAACUACGAGGGUACCCGUGCCCGCCACAAGCCGCCGGCGCAGUGGAGCCGAAAGCUGACGGAGAAGGAGUGGGACUACUACAUUCGACAGUAUGGGGCGCAGAUGAAAGCGGAGGAGGACACGAUUGCCGAUCGAGUGCGUCGCUACACCGACAUCCCAGAGGCGAGUACGGAGGAGGUGAACCAACGCUGGAAGGAACACGUGAUGCCGCGCCUGCAGACGGACCUAGAGUACAACCUCAGCCACUGGAAAAAGCAGCACCGCACCGGAGCGGGCCGACCAGCGCCGCCGACGCUGAACGAGUACAGCCUCUUCUCCGUCCCUGAUCACUCUAGCCUUGGGCAGGAUGCCAUUGACAUGCUGCGCAGACGCGAGGCGCAGCGCGAGGAAGACUGGUGGCGCGAGCGGAAGGGACAACUAAAGCCACCCGGGUGAGCCACAGUUGUCUUAUUUUCCGUCUUCGUGUCGUGCCGAGUGUAGUGGGGAGGGGAGACAGGCGAUCUGCUCUCCGAUCCGUGGUCACAUUGUCGUGAAGCAGAGUGUCUUGGUAAGACACACAAAAAAGCGAGCUAGCGAAAGAAGCGAAGCAGUCCGUGAAACAAGAACAGGACAUGUAUGCAGCACGUUGAGUGUCGUCCACAUGGAGGAUGCGCAUUGUGGCGCACACCAUCGGUCCUCUGCUUCCUUCAGGGAUGGAGAAGAUGCUCUCAUUGGUAAGAUGGCGGGCAUCACGGCGUGAUUGAAACGCGUCUUUUUUUUCCUCUAAAGCGCAUCCCGUGUACUUUCCCUCCACUCUUCUCCCCCUUCUCCAUGCUUUCUCUCCAG
rnacentral:misc_RNA from 1 species